rnacentral:tRNA from 1 species
GGGUCGCUGGUUCAGCGGUAGAACGUCGUCCUGAUAAGACGAAAACGCCAGGUCCGACUCCUGGGCGACCCA